rnacentral:lncRNA from 1 species
CUAAUAAGUUCAACCUCUCAUGGCUAUCUCAUUUAUGAGCGACUUAUGACAUAUCUCCAAGAAUGAACUGUGUGGCCAUGAUGGGAUAUACCGAGAAAUUGGAUUUUCAUAUGCAAUAAUAACCCCAGGAAGGAGCCAUAAAGGGAUUCAUCUUCAGAUCACAUCUUCAUCUCACUACUUCUCUGCUCCUUUAAUGAGUAAAGGAAUGAGGAGAAUCUGGAAUUUCCUUUUUUGGGCUUCUAUGGAUUUCCAUCUCUAUGUCUCCUGAAGCAGACAUUUUAUAUGCCUGGUACCCAAGAAGCCCAGAAGAUGGCAUCAGAUAAAAAGUGAAGUUACAGAUGACUGUGUACUGCCACUUUGUUGCUGAGAACUGAAUCCAACUCCUCCGGAAGAGCCAUUUCUUCAGGCAUCAAAAUUAUUUUCAAUAAAGCUUGAUGCAGCGUAACUUUGGUACAGACACAGAGAAACUGAGAAAUAGGUGAAGAUCUCCCCUAUAGGUUAAUAGAUGCUGAUUAAAAAUCACUGGUGUUUAUUAUGAGACCAUCAUCAUUGCAAUGGAAUCAAUGGAAUUUUCUGAGAAUCAACUGACAGAAACUAUGCCCCAGUGGGUCAAGGAUGUGUAUCAUACUGGAGGGAGAACUUAGCCUAUUAUUUCACAUAUAGUAUUGUUUUUGAGGCAUGAAGGAGUCAUGAAGAUAAGAUGCUUAAGUCCCAGGCAAGCCUUGGGAAGGCAGCAACCCCACAGGCUCAGCUGGGACCAUGAGUCAGAGACAACUACUUAACAACAAACCCUGGUUUUCAACUUUCUUCAUUUGAAAGAGACAGCAAAUAUCUAUGUUUGCAGUUGGU